UACGUAGGUCUCGAGCGUUGUCCGGAUUUAUUGGGCGUAAAGCGAGCGCAGGUGGUUUAUUAAGUCUGGUGUAAAAGGCAGUGGCUCAACCAUUGUAUGCAUUGGAGACUGGUAGACUUGAGUGCAGGAGAGGAGAGUGGAAUUCCAUGUGUAGCGGUGAAAUGCGUAGAUAUAUGGAGGAACACCGGUGGCGAAAGCGGCUCUCUGGCCUGUAACUGACACUGAGGCUCGAAAGCGUGGGGAGCAAACAGG
rnacentral:rRNA from 1 species